AGAGUUUGAUCCUGGCUCAGGAUGAACGCUAGCGGCAGGCUUAACACAUGCAAGUCGAGGGGCAGCGCGAGAGUAGCAAUACUUUUGGCGGCGACCGGCGCAAGGGUGCGUAACGCGUGAGUAACAUGCCCGUAUCAGGGGGAUAAGCGAUGGAAACGUCGUCUAAUACCGCAUAACAACAGAGGUGGCAUCACUUCAGUUUGAAAAUUACGAUGGAUACGGAUUGGCUCGCGAGACAUUAGUUAGUUGGCGGGGUAACGGCCCACCAAGGCCGCGAUGUCUAGGGGUUCUGAGAGGAAGGUCCCCCACACUGGAACUGAGACACGGUCCAGACUCCUACGGGAGGCAGCAGUGAGGAAUAUUGGACAAUGGUCGGAAGACUGAUCCAGCCAUGCCGCGUGAAGGAUUAAUGUCCUAUGGAUUGUAAACUUCUUUUGUACGGGAGCAAUAAGGGUCUCGUGAGGCCCGAUGAGAGUACCGUACGAAUAAGCAUCGGCUAACUCCGUGCCAGCAGCCGCGGUAAUACGGAGGAUGCGAGCGUUAUCCGGAUUUAUUGGGUUUAAAGGGUGCGUAGGCGGAAUGACAAGUCAGCGGUGAAACGCAAGGGCUCAACCCUUGACCUGCCGUUGAAACUGCCAAUCUAGAAUACGGAUGCUGUGGGAGGAAUGUGUGGUGUAGCGGUGAAAUGCAUAGAUAUCACACAGAACACCGAUUGCGAAGGCAUCUCACAAAUCCGUAAUUGACGCUGAGGCACGAAAGUGUGGGGAUCAAACAGGAUUAGAUACCCUGGUAGUCCACACUGUAAAC
rnacentral:rRNA from 1 species